rnacentral:rRNA from 1 species
GACUCCAUGAAGCUGGAUUCGCUAGUAAUCGCGCAUCAGCCACGGCGCGGUGAAUACGUUCCCGGGCCUUGUACACACCGCCCGUCAAGCCAUGGAAGCCGGGGGUGCCUGAAGUGUGCAGCCGCAAGGAGCGCCCUAAGGUAAAACCGGUGACUGGGGCUAAGUCGUAACAAGGUAAC